rnacentral:rRNA from 1 species
AGAACGAACGCUGGCGGCAUGCCUAAUACAUGCAAGUCGAACGAGAUCUUCGGGUCUAGUGGCGCACGGGUGCGUAACGCGUGGGAAUCUACCCUUGGGUUCGGAAUAACAGUUGGAAACGACUGCUAAUACCGGAUGAUGACGAAAGUCCAAAGAUUUAUCGCCCAAGGAUGAGCCCGCGUAGGAUUAGCUAGUUGGUGAGGUAAAGGCUCACCAAGGCUACGAUCCUUAGCUGGUCUGAGAGGAUGAUCAGCCACACUGGGACUGAGACACGGCCCAGACUCCGUACGGGAGCAGCAGUAGGAUAUGACAGUGGGGCACCGUGACUCAGCAAUCGCGCGUGAGUGAUGGAAGGUCGUUAGGUAGUAAAGUCUUACUUUACCG